rnacentral:lncRNA from 1 species
GCCGUUUCAAGCUGAUUGUCAUAUAAAACAUAAAAAGAAGAUGUGGUAAGAUUGCCAAAGAGACCAUAUGACACACAAAAUCAACAACUAUAGGUCACCGUAUAUUUGUUUUCCGCUUAACGUUGUAGUAUUAAUAAGGUCGUUUGUUUUACUUCUUUUCUUAAAUCUAUAUGACAAAGCUGUAUUAUAUUUUGUCAUAUCGAGGCCCUGAAUUACUAUAUUUAUACUAUAAAAUUGAGAAUGGAAAUGUGGACUGUUUCAAACAGACAACAACCCGACCAUUGAGCAGAAAACAGCCGAAGGCCACCAACGGGUCUUCAAUGCAUCGAGAAACUACCGCACCCGGAGGAGUCCUUCAGCUGGCCCCUAAACAAAUGUCUACUAGUUCAGUGAUUAUGGACGUCAUACUUAACUCCGAAUUAUACACUAGAAACUAAAAUUAAAAAUCAUACUGUAUGAUAUAAAUUCAUUGUUGAGUGCCGUACGUUGAUCUCUAAAUGUUGACACAUUUUAUCUUUGGUCACUAUUUAUUGAUCCUUUUUUUUUUCAUUUGCUAACCUACUACAUCAUCUUUUUAUGCAUAUAUAUAUUCAAAACAAUUGAGAAAUAUAUAUAUAAAACGUCACUGGUUUGCGAUCAUUACCGCCAUGAUAAUUUGGCAGAUAGAUAUCUUUG